GGGGGCUCGAGAUGGGUUCUCUUAAACAAGAGGAAAUUGAGACUAGAGACAGCAUAGUCUGGACCGCAUGGCUUCUGAUCAACCCAGAUGUAUGUGCAUCACUCUCUGUGCCUCGGAUUCUGUAAUGGAGAGAAUGACUUACUGAUGGUGUAGGGACGCUGAGGAUGCGUGGAGUAGCUGUGGACCAUGGGUGAAUUACUAGCUUGCAAAGCCUCACUGGAAGACAUAUUCUCUUCUGGCCCGAAGCUCAGGCAGGAUCAUCUUUGACCAGAACUACUGAGGACAGGACCCAGAAUCUGCCAUCAGCCACCACCUCAUCCCCAUUUUGUCUGGAGCUCAGUGUGUGUGUGUGUGUGUGUGUGUGUGCCUACCAAAUACACAUGUGUUGUUCUGACCUCCAGUCAAGGCUGGCAGGGAUGCCCUAUAGAAAUCUGGCUCUACACAGCAUGGAUCAACAUGAGACCCUAACUAGCGGCUCCCAGUAGCCAUCGGGGAAGCCAUAUAACUUUCCAGGGUGCUGUUCGAAGACUUGACAUUAACCAACUAAUGUGAUCUCAUAGCAGUCUCAUGGGUCUGGAAUCCACUCUGCAAAAGAGAAGUCCCAGAAUGCCAAGUUACACAUCCAAGAAGUGGAGUCUGGCUCAGGAACACGUCUACCUAUGCCCUAUUCUCUAUAGCUUUGCUCUUCUCUCCAUCCAAAAUGCUCUCACACCUUGGCCCUCUGAGGGCCCUUCUCUAGCUCUGGUCUUUGUUAUUGAAGUACAGGGGUCAUCGGAAUGGGGUGAUGGCACCAGGCCAUCAAGGGAACAUCUCUG
rnacentral:lncRNA from 1 species